CACCCUCAGUUCUUCAUCAUCAUGGAGUACUGUGAGAAAGGAAGUCUUCGCCAGGUUCUGGAUUCUGACUACACUCUGACCUGGAUCAGGAAAGCUCACAUGUGUUUGGAUGCAGCACAAGGACUCUAUCGGUCAGUGUGUCUGCUUUAUUACAGAUUCCAACCUAAACUCCAAACAAGUUGAGACCCUGUGUAAAAUGUAAAUGAAGACAGAAUGCAAUGAUCUGCAGAUCUCAUCAGGGUCAGAGUUAUUUUAUUUACAAUAGCACAUAGAAAAAGUUGGAGGCUGGAAGAGUAAGUGGUGCUACGAGGAAAAGAUGGAGGAACAAUUUGCACCUAAUCAGGUUAAUGAAGAGGCGAGGGACCAGCCCGCUCAUUAUCAGUGCUUUGUUCAAAGCCUGCGUCUCUGAUGGGUUGGGGAUUGUAUCAAGGAAACUGGCAGCUGGCACAUCUGGAGAGGCUCCAUCAGUGCUGAAAGGUAUAUACAGGCUUUAGAGCAACAUAUACUCCGUCCAGGGAAGGCCUUUAUAUUUCUGCAGGAUGAUGCUGAACCACAGACUGCAUCCGUUCCAACAGCACGGCUUCUCAGUAGAAGAGUGCAGGUGGUGAAGCGGCCUACCAGCUGAGAACAUCUGGAGCAUCCUGAAACCAAAACCAGAACGAAGGAGACCCGGGAGUGUUCCUCUCCCAGAAGCACAGCAGCUUCUGUCCUCGGUUCACAGAAAGUUUCAGGCUGUUGUUAAAAGAAGAGGAAUUCUACACAGCGGGAAACACGGUCCAACUUUUAUUUAUUUAUUUUAUUUAAAUUUAUCAGAAGGUGUGUAAAGAGAAGUAUCGAGAGCAGCUUCCUGAUGACUGUCCUGCAGAACUGGGACAGCUGAUCAACGAGUGCCGGGCCUACGACGGCUUCCAGAGGCCAUCAGCUGGAGUGCUGCUGGAUAAACUGCGCAGUGUGGUGACACAAAUGGAGGAACAACAAGACUGAUUAGAAUCAUCCUGAGAAGGAAACACAACUCG